CAACUCGGCUGCACGAAGCCGGAAUCGCUAGUAAUCGCAGAUCAGCAUGCUGCGGUGAAUACGUUCCCGGGUCUUGUACACACCGCCCGUCACACCAUGGGAGCCGGGAAUGCCCGAAGUCAGCGGCCCAACCGAAAGGAGGGAGCUGCCGAAGGCAGGCCUGGUGACUGGGGUGAAGUCGUAACAAGGUAGC
rnacentral:rRNA from 1 species